GAUGAACGCUAGCGACAGGCCUAACACAUGCAAGUCGAGGGGCAGCGGAGAGGUAGCAAUACCUCUGUCGGCGACCGGCGCACGGGUGAGUAACACGUAUGCAAUCCACCUGUAACAGGGGGAUAACCCGGAGAAAUCCGGACUAAUACCCCAUAAUACCACAGCACCGCAUGGUGCAGGGGUAAAAACUCCGGUGGUAUGAGAUGGAUCCGCGUCUGAUUAGCUAGUUGGUAAGGUAACGGCUUACCAAGGCAACGAUCAGUAGCCGACCUGAGAGGGUGACCGGCCACAUUGGGACUGAGACACGGCCCAA
rnacentral:rRNA from 1 species